AUCAAGCAGACUGGUGAGAAGUAUGUAGAUGAAGAGAUAUAAGUGUUUAUAGAGUGAAAAGAAGACUGAGAGAAGAAACAUGCAAGGAACAAGGAAGAAAGGCAACUGCCACCCAAAAGAGAGCAACUGGAAAACUAGAUGAGAAUCUGGGGACAGGCAACAGGAGGAUAUUGCAGUUAAAAAGCAAGGAUCUUCAGAGACAAAGUUCACGCACCUGUCCUGACCAGAUGAGAUUAAAACUCCACAGCUCAAUGUAACUUAAAUAUUUUAUGGAUCUGUCAUUUGGUCCAAGACCAUCACCAUUAGAAGAGACCAUUUACAAGUGGGAACCUUUUUUUUUGGUCAACGUGGUAGGAACCUGUC